rnacentral:rRNA from 1 species
GAUCAUGGCUCAGGAUGAACGCUGGCGGCGUGCUUAACACAUGCAAGUCGAACGAAGCAACUUAUUACGAUCCCUUCGGGGUGACGAUUGUGACUGAGUGGCGGACGGGUGAGUAACGCGUGGGUAACCUGCCUUGUACAGGGGGACAACAGUUGGAAACGACUGCUAAUACCGCAUAAGCGCACAGCUUCGCAUGAAGCAGUGUGAAAAAGUUUUUCGGUACAAGAUGGACCCGCGUCUGAUUAGCUAGUUGGUGAGGUAACGGCCCACCAAGGCGACGAUCAGUAGCCGACCUGAGAGGGUGACCGGCCACAUUGGGACUGAGACACGGCCCAAACUCCUACGGGAGGCAGCAGUGGGGAAUAUUGCACAAUGGGCGAAAGCCUGAUGCAGCCGACGCCGCGUGAGCGAAGAAGUAUUUCGGUAUGUAAAGCUCUAUCAGCAGGGAAGAUAAUGACGGUACCUGACUAAGAAGCACCGGCUAAAUACGUGCCAGCAGCCGC